AUCCAGCUGACGAGUACCACAUAGGACGAAACACGCGUCCUGGAU
rfam:Schistosoma margrebowiei strain Zambia genome assembly, scaffold: SMRZ_contig0002441